UCCUACGGGAGGCAGCAGUGGGGAAUUGUUCACAAUGGGCGCAAGCCUGAUGACGCAACGCCGCGUGGGGGAUGAAGGUCUUCGGAUCGUAAACCCCUGUCGAAUGGGACGAAUAGCUCGUGAAUUAAUACCUCGUGGGAAUGACGGUACCGUUAAAGGAAGCCACGGCUAACUCUGUGCCAGCAGCCGCGGUAAUACAGAGGUGGCAAGCGUUGUUCGGAAUUACUGGGCGUAAAGGGCGCGUAGGCGGCAGAGUAAGUAGGUAGUGAAAGCGUGCGGCUCAACCGCAUAGACAUUACCUAAACUACUCAGCUAGAGGAUGAGAGAGGUUAUUGGAAUUUCUAGUGUAGGAGUGAAAUCCGUAGAUAUUAGAAGGAACACCGAUGGCGUAGGCAGAUAACUGGCUCAUUCCUGACACUAAGGCACGAAAGCGUGGGGAGCGAACUGGAUUAGAUACCCAGGUAGUCCACGCCGUAAACGAUGGAUGCUAGCUGUUAUUCGUAUCGACCCGAGUAGUAGCGAAGCUAACGCGUUAAGCAUCCCGCCUGUGGAGUACGGCCGCAAGGCUAAAACAUAAAGGAAUUGACGGGGACCCGCACAAGCGGUGGAGCGUGUUGUUUAAUUCGAUGGUAAGCGAAGAACCUUACCCAGGUUUGACAUCUUAGGAAGUUCUGCGAAAGCAGAGUGUGCCUUCGGGAACCUAAAGACAGGUGAUGCAUGGCCGUCGUCAGCUCGUGUCGUGAGAUGUUUGGUUAAGUCCAUUAACGAGCGCAACCCUUAUAGUUAGUUGUAUUUCUCUAGCUAGACUGCCCUGGUAACAGGGAGGAAGGAGGGGAUGAUGUCAGGUCAGUAUUUCCCUUACAUCUGGGGCUACAAACACGCUACAAUGGCCGGUACAAAGGGCAGCCAAGUCGCAAGACGGAGCAAAUCCCAUCAAAGCCGGUCUCAGUUCGGAUAGCAGGCUGAAACUCGCCUGCUUGAAGCUGGAAUCGCUAGUAACGGUAGGUCAGCACACUACCGUGAAUACGUUCCCGGGCCUUGUACACACCGCCAU
rnacentral:rRNA from 1 species